rnacentral:lncRNA from 1 species
UAAAAUCACAUCAUGUCAGUGAUGUGAUAACACAAAAUAAUAUGUUAUUUGAAAAAUAACUAUUAUUGUAAUGAGAUACAUGUUCUAUUAGGUAUAAGUAUUUAAAUUUAAAUAUUAUUUAAUUUGUUUUAUAAUAUUUUAAAUUAUGAUUUUUAAAUUAUUUUUAAAGAUAUUCUGCUUUUUAAUAAAAAUAAUUUGUAAAUUUUAGGUCAUUUUCGUGUUUAAUUAAAAAAUUAAUUAUUUUGAUAAUAAAUUAAAUUUUUUGUGUUAUUUUUAUAAAAAAGUCAAGAUAUUCAAACCAUUUUUUAAAUUCUAUUUAAAAGUUAAAAAAUAGUAUUUUAAUUAAAAAAGUGAAAUUUGAUUAAUUAGAAAAUAAAAAAUAUUUGUUAAAAAAAGAUUUAUUUGUUAAAAAAUAAAUUUAUUUAAAAAUAUAUAUAUUAAAAAGUAAAAAUUAAAAUUAAAAAUUAUAUAUUAUAUAUUAUAUAUUAUAAAAUCACAUCAUGUCAGUGAUGUGAUAACACAAAAUAAUAUGUUAUUUGAAAAAUAACUAUUAUUGUAAUGAGAUACAUGUUCUAUUAGGUAUAAGUAUUUAAAUUUUUGUUUUUGUAAUGUGAUACAUGCGUGUAUAUAUAUAUAUAUAUAUAAUCAUAUUAGUGAAUCUGCUAAUACAUACUUCAUCCGGAUAAAGUAUGCAUUAUUAAAAUUAAAUUAAAAUAUUAAAUAAGAAAUAAAAUUAUAAAACAAUAUGUUAUUUAGAAAAUAACUAUUAUUGUAAUGAGAUACAUGUUCUAUUAGGUAUAAGUAUUUAAAUUUUUUUUUUGUAAUGUGAUACAUGAAUAAAUCUAUAUAUAUAUGUAAUCAUAUUAGUGAAUCUAUUAAUACAUACUUCAUCCAGAUAAAGUAUGCAUUAUUAAAAUUAAACUAAAAUAUUAAAUAAAAAAUAAAAUUAUAAAACAAUAUGUUAUUUGGAAAUAACUAUUAUUGUAAUGAGAUACAUGUUUUAUUAGGUAUAAGUAUUUAAAUUUUAGUUUUUGUAAUAUGAUACAUGAGUAAAUAUCUAUAUAUAUAUAUAAUCAUAUUAGUGAAUGUGCUAAUACAUACUUCAUUCAGAUAAAGUAUGCAUUAUUAAAAUUAAUGGUUUGUUUAAACACAAUAUAGUGAGUUGAAGGGAAAUAAAAAGAAAAUAAUACAUAAGGAGAGCUUAAAAUGAAAUUAUCCAAAUUAAAGUUUAGUACCGCCACACUGCCAGGCGGUAGCUUACCAUUCCAUUUCAGCAGCCAUUCAAAAAUAGAAAAAUUGCAUAACAAGUCCCUAAAUCUUUUAAAUCAUUAUUUUUUUAUUUUUUUACUAUUUUGGGUCAGAAAUCCAAGGUGAUGGCGCCUAUGCACCACCCUCCACCAAGACAAAUGUACCAUUUUGGUAUCUAAUUUUUGAAACAACUUAUUUUGAUAUUUUAUUUUAUUUUUUAUGUUUUUUUUGGUAAAAAACCCAAUAAAUAAAGACAAAAAAAAAGGUAAAAGACUUAAAAAGUAAAACAAAAAAAUACUGACAUAUGAGCUGGUAACGCCAUUUACUUUGGCUUCACCAGAAAAAUGAGUAAUUUUUUUUAAGUCCCCCUAUAUUUUAAAAAAAAUUAAUAUUUUCUUGAUAUUUAUACAGGUGGCGU